UACGUAGGGGGCAAGCGUUAUCCGGAUUUACUGGGUGUAAAGGGAGCGUAGACGGUUAUGCAAGUCUGAAGUGAAAGCCCAAGGCUCAACCAUGGGACUGCUUUGGAAACUGUAAAACUGGAGUGCAGGAGAGGUAAGCGGAAUUCCUAGUGUAGCGGUGAAAUGCGUAGAUAUUAGGAGGAACACCAGUGGCGAAGGCGGCUUACUGGACUGUAACUGACGUCGAGGCUCGAAGGCGUGGGGAGCAAACAGG
rnacentral:rRNA from 1 species